UCAGUUUUGAUCGAGCAGUAACUCGGGAAGUAGUGUGCCGUUUGAUCUACAUAUUUCGAAAAAGUAUUUGACAAUCGGUAGCUACUGAAAGCCCUAUAUCAUUGGAAAUUUCGUGAAUUCCGUAACUCGGAGAUUUCUCCACAAGCACUGGUUUUCCGUCUUCGAUGAAACGGCAGUUCAGUUUCGGCGACAUCAGGAGCGACGUCAGUGGCAACGCAGGUUCCUCAGAGCGACGAUGGAGAGAGAAAACGAUGACCAUUGCGUGAUGGAACCAAAUCAGGACAUCGCCGAGUCUUCUUGACGAGAUACAUCCCUUCAUCUUCACCCAGUCGAGAUGGAUCUGCAACACAUGAGACGUGCAACUCCUUUUCUGCAGAGGUAUGUUUCAUUUAAUUCAUCUCUUUCGAGGGUCCCUAGUAUGAUCCAACAUUUAGAGUCUUAGUAUAUGAAUUGCACCCCCUUAGAAAAGAUUUUCAAAAUCCUUUUCAUAAAAUCAAAUCACCCAGAAUUACCCAAUGUACUUAUUAUAUUCAAGCACCCCGAUAAUAUAAUUCAUCAGACACGCCAAUAAGGCAAGACAAUAAUUUAUUAUCACAUAACUUGGUACAAUUUAUUAUAAUUCAAACGUCUUAUAUACUUAUAUAUACUGAGGCAUAAAAUAUGUUAUACAUUAGGUUACAUGAUAGGUCAUACAUUACGUCAUGUAUUGCGUUUAGUAAUUAUUUAUUUGUUAUUUAUGUUACAGGUUGCAGUUCCUCCAACGUCAUUGCCCGGACUCCCCCUGUUCAUCAGGGGGAGUCCACUGACCCGUCCCCUGGGACAGCGCGGCCUCCCAC